rnacentral:lncRNA from 1 species
UUGCUGGUGCGUGUGGCACCCCGGCUCGGAGAAACCAGAAGGCACCAGUAUUCCAGCCCAGAGGUCGAGGUGAAGUCUUCUAGAAUACGGCAAUGCUUAUUAUAGAACAAACUAGCUCUCUAUUACAACAGGAAUAUGAAUAGAAGGUCUCCGAUAUUACAAUGAAUAACACCGGCACGGCGACACUACGCCAACCACAGUUGCUCUAUGCAGGCAACAUAACAACUCGGGGCAGCGGAACCUCUACUCGCAGCGGAACAACUAUUGACAGCGGAACAACGAACGGCUAUGAUGGACUCCAAUCCGCAGGGACUCUGGCUGGAAUGUUUAUCCUAGCUCGCGAACAUAGAAACCACACCAAACAAGCAAGCAAUCCAGGCACGACCUGCAAAGUGGUAUGACAAGCCAGGUCAGUAGAUUGAAUGUACUUGCAAUCUCACAAUAAUCAAAAGCACUCAAGACAAACAAUAGCAUAGCCUUAGCAAGUUAAAGCAAUCAUGAACAUGAUACUCACAGGACAACAUGGCAUGCACAAUUGAACAUGAUACAAUUUUAGCAUGGCACGAUCAUAUGAACAUGAUGAUACUACAUGCACCAGGUUAACAUUCACAUGCACCAACUUACUCUGCUCGGGUUACCUCGUAACCAAACGGUGAUCAUUCACGGAUCACAAACGGAACCACACUGGGUUCAACGUGUUACCUCGUAACCAAACGGUGAUCAUUCAUGGAUCACAAACGGAACCAUACUUGGUUCAACGGGUUACCUCGUAACCAAACGGUGAUCAUUCACGGAUCACAAAUAUCCAACAACUUCGGUAUCCACGAUACCACCGUGAUCCUCUCUCGAUCACAACCAACAUCUUUUCUCAUCAUCGAACUGGGGUUAUUAUUAAUCAGGUUAUCAUUAUUGUUGGCUCAUAGUGUGACUGAUUACGACUGGGCCCUUAUCCGCGGGCGCGGCUAUCGAUAAAUUUAACACACACUCUGCAGAGGUUAGUACACUGUACCCACGCCACGGAACCCAUGGCCUCGCACUCCCAUUCGGGUGGAAAAAGGCGUUCCGACAAAACCAAUCUACUGCCCAUGAAACUCUCCCGGCCACUCCGACCAACUCCCCUCUGGGCUAAGUCAUGGGUGGCCCUGUGCCUACCAAAGGCAUCAACGGCCACCAUCGUGUCAAAACACGGCCACCGUCGUGGCAAAACAUAAACGGUCCCAAAUAGGGACAUGUGCACAUAACCAAACUCGGGCUCACAAGGCUUAUGUCCGCCUACCUGAUCAGGGUAGCACGUGCCCAUGACCUUCCCUCGUUGGAGGCACCGGCGAGAGGCAUGACAAUAGACCCAGUUAGGACCUUCCCAUAAAGGAAAAUGUGGUUGCACUGGUCAGCUCGAUUUGGUGGCACCAUGACUCAGCCAACAGUUGUUUAAGUUCAUUAUUUAUCCGAUUAAACUUGAAUGCAAUAAGCUGAGCCAUAAUAAACUAACAUGAUGCAACUACGAUGCAUGAACAUGAUAUCAAUAUAAGCAUGGAGGUGCAACAUAAUCAUCGAGCAUAACCACAAUGAAGCAUAUACCCAACUGAGCAUGACAUACUGAUGAUCAUAACACCACACAGGAUCAUAGCAUGACUACUAGCAUCAUGAAUAAAUACCAUGCAAGAACAUAGCAAGAACACUACCAAGUAAGCAUGUAACGAGCUAGGCGAAAAGUAACAUGCAUAGCAACGGUACUUGAUAACAGACGGUAAACAUGCAUCAGAAAAUACACCACUGCUACCAGCAUAUACUACUACUAUCAAGCAUAACAUGUAACAAUGAUACUAGCAAGUAGCACAAGAUAACAAGAAGCAUCGGAACAUAUCAUGAAGGUGAAUAUGAAACCACGAGCAUAACCGAAACCACGACAACAGUAGCAAACAAGCAGACAGAUAACAGGCAAACUUUUAUUAAAUAUUCAAGUAGAAACCAUGGCUACUACAUGGCUAUCAUGCAAGUGGCUGUUGUGGCUUGCUUGGGGGUGACAGAGACUCCAGAAAGAAGUGCGGUGAAGCCGCGGAACGAAACGCCGGACGGUUCUCUCUCGAAGGGGGCUGAUUAGAGGCAAGGGAAAACUGGUAAUUUUCACUAUGGUACCACCUAGUGAAAAUAGAUCCAAUAGAAAGAGAUCGACGAGACAAAGACGUGAGCGUUGGUUUCACCUCAAUCGGAGUUACGUUUGAAAAGUUAUGAAGGUUGGAAGAUCAGGGACUUUUUUGUAAAAAUAAUAUUCACAGCCGGGUCCCUGAGUGGAUAAGGCAGAAGCGGAUAUUAGAAAACACGCCUUCGAGUAGAGAAAGCGCACUCUGAGCAAAAGAAGAACCAAAAUUCAUUUUUAGAAGGAGAAAACGUAUUCCUAAGAAAUACUUUGGCAAACGCGUUUCCACUUAAGUUGAUUUCGCAAGGGGGAGUCACUUACAGGCGGGCCAAGGAGGCAAGGAGGGCCCACUGGUGGGGGGCGAGCCACGCUCGUCCUCUUCCUCGCGCGACCCCGACCAGGGCAGAGCAGGAAGCAGGGCGAGACAGAGGCGAC